UACGAGGGGGGCGAGCGUUGUUCGGAAUUAUUGGGCGUAAAGGGUGCGUAGGCGGUUCCGCAAGUCCUGUGUGAAAUCUUCGGGCUCAACUCGAAGUCUGCACGGGAAACUGCGGGGCUUGAGUGUGGGAGAGGUGAGUGGAAUUCCCGGUGUAGCGGUGAAAUGCGUAGAUAUCAGGAGGAACACCUGUGGCGAAAGCGGCUCACUGGACCAUAACUGACGCUGAUGCACGAAAGCUGGGGGAGCAAACAGG
rnacentral:rRNA from 1 species